UGGGGAAUAUUGGACAAUGGGCGAAAGCCUGAUCCAGCCAUGCCGCGUGUGUGAAGAAGGUCUUCGGAUUGUAAAGCACUUUAAGUUGGGAGGAAGGGCAGUAAGCGAAUACCUUGCUGUUUUGACGUUACCGACAGAAUAAGCACCGGCUAACUCUGUGCCAGCAGCCGCGGUAAUACAGAGGGUGCAAGCGUUAAUCGGAAUUACUGGGCGUAAAGCGCGCGUAGGUGGUUCGUUAAGUUGAAUGUGAAAGCCCCGGGCUCAACCUGGGAACUGCAUCCAAAACUGGCGAGCUAGAGUAGGGCAGAGGGUGGUGGAAUUUCCUGUGUAGCGGUGAAAUGCGUAGAUAAAGGAAGGAAAACCAGUGGCGAAGGAGACCACCUGGGCUCAUACUGACACUGAGGUGCGAAAGCGUGGGGAGCAAACAGG
rnacentral:rRNA from 1 species